CUCCGGCGCCCCCACCUCCGCGCCGACUCGGAGUAGGAGAGCGGGGCGGAGCGCGGCCUGGGUCACUCUGGUUCAGAGAAGCGGAGGAGGUGGGGCUCCUGGUCUGAGCAAAGGGGAGGAAACCCUUCCUCGAAGCCACGGUCCCCAGUCAAUCAAGACACGUCCGCGUCGGGUCCCGCCCUCUGGGGGAGGAUUGACAAGGUCUGCGCUCCCAAUCCCCGGGACAGCUCCUGCAUCCGCCUGCUAUGGCGUGAGCUUGCGGGAAGACACGAAGGCGGGAGAGGCUUAUGUCCUCUGGAUUUCCCCGUCUUAUCCCAGAAGACAAAGCCAGGUGAGGGCUGGAAGCGGGCUAGGAGGGCCAAGCAGCCUCCCUCCCUUGUGUGCCAGGGGUUGUCCCCAGAAGGAGCUGAUCUGAACAGACCAGAGGGUAGGACCGGCCGUCACACCCCCACACUCCAGCCUCGGCCCCACUCCUUGGGCUCUUAGAGUCCUGCCUCAAGAACCACUUCCUGAGUCCUGUAUGUAUGUAUCCAAAGUCUUGGUUUAUGUGUGUACACAAAGAAAGAAAGAAACCACUAGAGCAAAAGGAAGGAGAUCUGGGCUGGGCUAAGAAGCAGCUUCCAGGAUCACUGCCUUCCCGCGGGACACACCAAGCCCAUUCCCGACCUUGCUGUCCCUGGCCAUGGCGGGCAGGCUGUGGAGGAGGAGCGAAGAGCUGAAGAAAGGAGUAUUCAGGUUCCUCAUUGUGCUGCCACUAGAUGCCAGGCAUGUGCCAGGCACGGGGGCUGCAAGGAGAGGAAGACAGUGGCCCUGCCCUCUGCCAGCAGGCAGAACCAAGUUCUGGCCAUACUGAAGAAAGGCAGAAGCCUGCGGCGGCAGCUGGUUAAGCUCAAAGGGAGGGACGAUAGGAGAAUGGAUCUCACGGAGCAGGGGGGUGUGCUCAAGGUGACCUUGGAGAAUAAAGGCGAGAGCUCCAGGGACAGGGAAGCAGUUAACUGUGGGGAAAAAAGGAGCAUUUUUUAAAGAUUAUGACAGCUUGGGGUUGGCUGGCUCGAAGUGCUUGGGAAGGAUGUGGUGAGAUGUGUUGAAGGUGGUCUGAAAAUCAAGAUUGAGAGACUUUAGAUACGUAACAGCCAACUGCAAUGCUUGGCUCCUUCACUGAAUGGUUGUCUGAACAAACCAGCUGUGAAAGACAUUUUGGGACAUAUGAAUAUGGACUGAGAAUUAGACAUAAGAAAAUUA